GAAGCCUUUCUUCCCCACGAUUAUCUUGUCCAGAGCUUGGCGAGUAGAAAUUAUUGAUAUCUCGAGUUGCAAUCAGUUGGGAAUCAUAGACUGCUCUUCUAGCUUGUCCUCAUCACUCUCAGUGCUUCGAGAUAGGCCUCUUCUUCCCCUUAUAACACACAAUUGCAAUUAAAAUCCUAUGUUUAAUUUCAAGUAUGCUAUCCUAAUAUGGUAAAUAAACAAAAGACGAAGGCAGGCAAGCUCCAGUUCAGAGAUUGAAGUUUCCAACAGAAUGGGGCCAGCGUGGUUCAUUGCCAGUCUAGGAAAGAUUAAAAGUUCAUAAUUUUACAUCAUGAACAUAAGAACAACUUAUCUAGAACGACUACAUGAAUGGUUAUCUCUUAACAACCUUCAAGGAUGAUAUAUUCGAACGAUUUCCCGAAGAAAAGACUUCCAAAUGAUUAAAAGCUGCUGGUGCCAAAACAGAGAAUAGAGAGCGAAUCUACCGAUUACGGCUUAGUGCCAUGCUCAGCUCGUAACUACGUGACGGUGACAAACAUAAAAGCACUUCUUAACAAGAAUCGAAUCAAACAAAUGUUAAAUGCACCAGUCAGGAAAGUCUACUAAAUAGCCAUUUACCUCUUCGUCUUCAUUGGGAACAGAAGCGUCAUCAACUAUUGGGUGCUUUAUCGACAACUAUCUUGCCAGCUUCCAUCUCCUCCUAGAUUUUAACAGAAGACAUUUAAGAAUUCAUAAAAAAAAUGUCAUUUCUUAACUCAGCU
rnacentral:lncRNA from 1 species